GUGACCAUUCUUUAUUCUGCCUUUGUCCUGGAGAGCACAUCAGAUAGAGCAGAGGAAAGUGAGGAUCCUGGCUGCUCCCCCUGUUCUUGAUGUGCUCCUGGUUUGGGCUUCUGGGGACCAUUGCUGACAAUGGAGAGCACAGAAUCCAUUUCACAUUUUGAAGUACACAUUAACUCAGCUACUGUUUCCACAGAUACUUCUCAGUGUCGAUAACCAUAUCCCAACGAAUCCAGCUGCACCCCGCCCGCAAAGACCUUUGGGGCUUCUGAUCGAGAGUCCAGA